UACGUAGGGUGCGAGCGUUAAUCGGAAUUACUGGGCGUAAAGCGUGCGCAGGCGGUGAGCUGUGUCCGAUGUGAAAGCCCCGGGCUUAACCUGGGAAUGGCAUUGGAAACUAGGGGACUGGAAUCUGGCAGAGGGGGGUGGAAUGCCGCGUGUAGCAGUGAAAUGCGUAGAGAUGCGGCGGAACACCGAUGGCGAAGGCAGCCCCCUGGGCUGAGAUUGACGCUCAGGCACGAAAGCGUGGGGAGCAAACAGG
rnacentral:rRNA from 1 species